rnacentral:rRNA from 1 species
GAGCAACCCACUGAUCAUAAUGUCCCCAAUCUCAGUUCAGUUGAUAUGCCACCCCCCGAGCAAAAUAUUGAGGCAUCUGUAGAAGUAGAAGUUCUAGAACAACAAAGAAUCGGAAGCACACCAUUCGAGCGAGACCCUGGAAAGCGCAAACAGAUUUGGGAACUCCCUCUUGAUAAGCAAAAUGAAGCACGCCAAUUCUAUAUUUCUGAAGGCCGAUACAUGCUAUACAUGAGAGAGUAACCAUAUAAUGAUCACCGAAACAUCGUCGGCAUUUGUUGGUUCAAGGAUUUUGAAUGGCUCGAGUUUUCACCUUACACAAAGCGUGCAUAUUGCUUCCAUUGUUUCCUCUUCUCAAGAAAGCCGAUUGGGAAGUGCGGCUCAGAAACAUUUACUGUUUGGGGCUUUGAUAGGAGGAAGAAGGUGAAUAAUGGGAAAGAGUGUGCUUUUUUAACUCAUAUGGGUAAAGCUGGUUCAGCCCAUAACUUCUCAGUUCGUUGUUGUGAUAAUUUUAAAAACAGCACUCAUAUUGAUAAGGUGUUUGGGAAAGAAUCCGCAAAAACGAUUUUAGAUGCAAGGCUAAGGCUCAAAGUUACAAUUGAUUCCAUCCAGUGGUUAACAUUCUAGGCUUGUGCUUUUAGAGGGCAUGAUAAAUCUCCAGGAUCCAUUAAUCGGGGUAAUUUCCUAGAAGUGGUAAAACUUUUGGCUUCUUAUAACAAGGAGGUGAAAGAUGUUGUCUUGGAAAAUGCUCCUGGAAACGCAAAGUACACAUCUCAUCAGGUUCAAGAGGAAAUUCUUGGUAUACUUUCUCGAAAGGUGCAAAGAACAAUUAGAGAAGAAAUUGGUGAUAGCAAAUUUUUUAUAAUGGUUGACGAAGCUCGCGACGAAUCCAAGAAAGAGCAAAUGGCAUUGGUCCUUCGAUUUCCCGACACCGAAGGGUUCAUACAGGAGCGUUUUGUUCAUGUCAUUCAUGUGAAUGACACUCUUGCAUUGACUCUCAAGGAGACAAUUUGCACUGGUCUAGUAGAUAACAAUUUAAAUGUUAAAGAUAUCAGAGGUCAGGCCUAUGAUGGGGCCAGUAAUAUGCGAGGGCAGUGGAAUGGAUUGAAGGCUUUAAUUCUGAAGGCGUGCCCUUAUGCAUAUUACAUUCAUUGUAUGGUGCAUCAGCUUCAAUUGGCCCUUGUUGCAGCAUCACGAGAGGUACAUGAAGUCCAUAAUUAUUUUUAACAUGCAAAUUUUGUAAUAAAUGUUGUUAGUGCUUCACCUAAACGCAAUGAUGAGUUACUAGCAAAUCAAGCCACUGAGAUUGCACUCCUAUGAAGUAUAGCGAAUGAUCGUUCGGUGACACAAUAUUCUAGUGGAGAUGCUGGAGGCGCCCCAAGGAUAAUUGUUUCUUUUGAUUUUGUGUUCAUUUUGCACCUCGUGGAGAGGAUUAUGAAAAUCACAGAUGUCUUGAGCCAAACACUCCAGAAGUUGAUCUAA